AUGGAUGUAAACCUCAAGAUCAUGUUUUGGAACGUCCGCGGACUCAAUAGCCGGGCCAAACGUUCUGCGGUCUGCACUGUGAUCUCCUCCGCGUCCCCUUCCAUCGUGUGCCUACAAGAGACCAAACUCUUGAUGGUUUCGUCGAUUCUCAUCCUCGAGACCCUUGGAGGCUCCUUUGAUGGCUUCUUCUUCCUCCCCGCGAUUGCUACCCGGGGCGGAAUAAUU
rnacentral:rRNA from 1 species